rnacentral:rRNA from 1 species
GACGAACGCUGGCGGCGUGCUUAACACAUGCAAGUCGAACGGAAAGGCCCUGCUUUUGUGGGGUGCUCGAGUGGCGAACGGGUGAGUAACACGUGAGUAACCUGCCCUUGACUUUGGGAUAACUUCAGGAAACUGGGGCUAAUACCGGAUAGGAGCUCCUGCUGCAUGGUGGGGGUUGGAAAGUUUCGGCGGUUGGGGAUGGACUCGCGGCUUAUCAGCUUGUUGGUGGGGUAGUGGCUUACCAAGGCUUUGACGGGUAGCCGGCCUGAGAGGGUGACUGGCCACAUUGGGACUGAGAUACGGCCCAGACUCCUACGGGAGGCAGCAGUGGGGAAUAUUGCACAAUGGGCGGAAGCCUGAUGCAGCAACGCCGCGUGCGGGAGGACGGCCUUCGGGUUGUAAACCGCUUUCGCCUGUGACGAAGCGUGAGUGACGGGAAUGGGGAAAGAAGCACCGGCUAACUACGU